CCUACGGGAGGCAGCAGUCGGGAAUCUUGCACAAUGGGCGAAAGCCUGAUGCAGCAACACCGUGUGAGCGAUGAAGGCCCUAGGGUCGUAAAGCUCUGUUGUUAGGGACGAAGGGCGAAGGGUCAAUAGCCCUUAGCCUGACGGUACCUUUCGAGGAAGCCCCGGCUAACUACGUGCCAGCAGCCGCGGUAAUACGUAGGGGGCGAGCGUUGUCCGGAAUUAUUGGGCGUAAAGAGCGUGUAGGCGGCUUGGUAAGUCUGCUGUGAAACCUUGAGGCUCAACCCCAAGCGUGCAGUGGAUACUGUCAAGCUAGAGGAUGGUAGAGGCCAGUGGAAUUCCCGGUGUAGCGGUGAAAUGCGCAGAUAUCGGGAGGAACACCAGUAGCGAAGGCGGCUGGCUGGGCCAUUCCUGACGCUGAGACGCGAAAGCUAGGGGAGCGAACAGGAUUAGAUACCCUGGUAGUCCUAGCCGUAAACGAUGAACACUAGGUGUGGGGGGAGUCGAAUCCCUCCGUGCCGAAGCCAACGCGUUAAGUGUUCCGCCUGGGGAGUACGGCCGCAAGGCUAAAACUCAAAUGAAUUGACGGGG
rnacentral:rRNA from 1 species